rnacentral:rRNA from 1 species
UACAGAGGUCUCAAGCGUUGUUCGGAUUCAUUGGGCGUAAAGGGUGCGUAGGCGGCGCGGUAAGUCGGGUGUGAAAUCUCGGGGCUUAACUCCGAAACUGCAUUCGAUACUGCCGUGCUUGAGGACUGGAGAGGAGACUGGAAUUUACGGUGUAGCGGUGAAAUGCGUAGAUAUCGUGAGGAAGACCAGUGGCGAAGGCGGGUCUCUGGACAGUUCCUGACGCUGAGGAGUGAAAGCGUGGGGAGCGAACAGG